AUUGAACGCUGGCGGCAUGCCUUACACAUGCAAGUCGAACGGUAACAGGUCUUCGGAUGCUGACGAGUGGCGAACGGGUGAGUAAUACAUCGGAACGUGCCUAGUAGUGGGGGAUAACUACUCGAAAGAGUGGCUAAUACCGCAUGAGAUCUACGGAUGAAAGCAGGGGAUCGCAAGACCUUGUGCUACUAGAGCGGCCGAUGGCAGAUUAGGUAGUUGGUGGGAUAAAAGCUUACCAAGCCGACGAUCUGUAGCUGGUCUGAGAGGACGAUCAGCCACACUGGGACUGAGACACGGCCAAGACUCCUACGGGAGGCAGCAGUGGGGAAUUUUGGACAAUGGGCGCAAGCCUGAUCCAGCAAUGCCGCGUGCAGGAUGAAGGCCUUCGGGUUGUAAACUGCUUUUGUACGGAACGAAAAGCCCUGGGUUAAUACCCUGGGGUCAUGACGGUACCGUAAGAAUGAGCACCGGCUAACUACGUGCCAGCAGCCGCGGUAACAC
rnacentral:rRNA from 1 species